rnacentral:rRNA from 1 species
UACAGAGGUCCCAAGCGUUGUUCGGAUUCAUUGGGCGUAAAGGGUGCGUAGGCGGCGCGGUAAGUCGGGUGUGAAAUCUCGGAGCUUAACUCCGAAACUGCAUUCGAUACUGCCAUGCUUGAGGACUGGAGAGGAGACUGGAAUUUACGGUGUAGCGGUGAAAUGCGUAGAUAUCGUAAGGAAGACCAGUGGCGAAGGCGGGUCUCUGGACAGUUCCUGACGCUGAGGCACGAAGGUCAGGGGAGCAAACGGG